UUUGUAAGGACUGAGAUUUUUGCAGUGUAGCUAAACUCUCAGUUGACGAUGUUUUUGUGUGUAAUUUAAUUACAAAAGCACUCGUCAAGUUUCGGGCGAAAACGAGUUAAAACGGAAAUUCUACGCGAUUUCCAAGUUUCACUUAAAGUGAAUAGUAACACUACAACAAAAACGGUAUAUAGCGACACUUUUAAAUGUCGGUAUAGGUCAAAAAAAGUGUUGCUGGCUAAAUUACCGACACUUUUUAAAAGUGUUGCUAUAUGUGGCGUCGCUAGGUAUAUAGUGACACUUUUUAAGAGUGUUGGUAUAACCUAAAAAGAGUGCUACUAAUAUACCGACACUUAUUUAAGCUUUUAGCAGCACAUAAAAGUGAUGCAAAAUAAUAUUCUAGCAACACUUUUUUUUAAUUUCAGCGACACUUUAUAAAUGUCCCAUUUUUUUUAAAUAUCCAAAUUUUUCUUGAUGCAUCACACUUUUUAAAAUAUAAUACCACUCCACGAUGAUUAUCAUUAAGCAUAUCUUUAAUUUUAUUCGCCUUGAUUUGCAUUAACAAAGAAAGCAUAUAAAAGAAGUUUUGUAGUUAUACUAAUUAAUACAAAAAUAUCUCAAGGUAUUAUCCAUAUAUCUUUAAACGAGUAUUUAGUCACUAAAUCACAGUACCAACAAUUUCUAGCUUUUCAACCCAAGAGAAAGAGAAAUGAAAACAAAAGCUAAUAAUAUCAUAUCAGAUCUAGUCGUAGUGAG
rnacentral:lncRNA from 1 species